rnacentral:rRNA from 1 species
CGUAGGAGACAAACGUUAUCCGGAGUUACUGGGCGUAAAGGGCGUGUAGGUGGUUUCGUAAGUCUGGCGUGAAAUUUUUCGGCUUAACCGGGAAAGGUCGUCGGAUACUGCGGAGCUAGAGGACGGUAGAGGCGUGUGGAAUUCCGGGUGUAGUGGUGAAAUGCGUAGAGAUCCGGAGGAACACCAGUGGCGAAGGCGACACGCUGGGCCGUACCUGACACUGAUGCGCGACAGCAUGGGGAGCAAACAGGAUUAGAAACCCUGGUAGUCCAUGCCGUAAACGAUGCUAGCUGGGUGUUCAGGGGGGGAAACCCCUCGGGGUACCGAAGUCAACACGGUAAGCUAGCCGCCUGGGGAGUACGGUCGCAAGGUUG